rnacentral:miRNA from 1 species
GCAGACACAUUCCAGCCAAUCAGCAGCAGACCCUCCCUCCAAGACCCUCCCAUCUCCUGGACAGCAUCCAUUUUACAUUCAUUGUGAAGCUGCAUUCUUAGUGAGCUGUCCAGGAGGUGGGAGGGUCUGGGAGGGAGGGUCUGCUGCUGAUUGGCUGGAAUGUGUCUG